rnacentral:lncRNA from 1 species
UCCCAUGGUCUUUAUGGCCAUUGCACAGCACUAACGUGCUGCCUCCAACAAACACCCAUUGAAAUUGCAUUUACAAUAGUGGCUUACAUUCUUGCCAGGAUUGGUCAAAGCCAAUGUACAGAAUAGGAGUUUGGACAGACGGGGGAAAAUCUGUGGGCAGACCCAACCUUGUGAUAGGAGAAAAAUAGGCUGACAGGACAUCAUGGCUCAUUGUCUGCCAUUUGCCAUUCUGUAAAGCAGAGCCCACAGCCUACCAUUCCAGGGUGUGCCUCAGACAUGAUAGUGAAGGAAGAAAGCACAGGACCUGCA